rnacentral:ncRNA from 1 species
UGUUGUUGCAAUAGCAGUCCUGCUCAGUACGAGGGCAACUGCAGGUUCAGACACCUGCUGCACACGCUUGGGCAAGGAGCCGCUGGCACGAGGCAACCACCUGCGGGCUCAUGACCAAAUGCCUCUCGGUCAGAAUCCUGCCUAGAGGCAGCGACGCCGUAGUGCAGCCGGCGCCUGGGUGGGCUCGCGAUAGCUGGCCGCCCAGCCGGCGCGGGGCAGGCCUGGUGGCAGAGUGUCGCUCAUGGUUGGGACCAGAUGGGUGGCCAGAUGCAGCGCCACCUCUCCUCCGUUGUGUACCACCUCAUUGCGGGGCAUCCAGCACUAAAUCAUUCGUGGAUGACGUGAUUCUGGGUCAGGGUUUCAUACAUAGCAGAGCAGCUCCUUCGCUGAAAUCUAUUGAGAAUCAGCCCUUGACACAAGGUUUU